rnacentral:misc_RNA from 1 species
GUCAUUCUGUCUUCAUCUCUGAUAGUGUUAGCACGAGUAAUGUUUUGAUACACCCACCACCAUCCCCGUUUCACCACUCCAAUAUUCGAAAGUUGCAUACAUGUACAAAAUAUUGUUCUUUUGCAUAUGGCAUAUUUUAUUUUUGAGGUGCCAUCUUUUUGCUGGUUUUGUAUAUAUUGUAUAUAAUUUUGAACAAAAUAUUGUUUUUCUGUAUUUUAAGGGGAUCAGCAUAUUGAUAAGUUAUUUAACAUUUUGUGUGAACAGCUUUGGGUCUGAUCCCCUACUAUGUUGUUUAUAUUUUUCUUUACUUUCGUCAUUUUUAAUAAAUGACAUAUUUCAUCAU